GGACGGACCUGCAUACGGAGAGAAACAUCUCGACCAACUUAUCCUUAUCCGCUACUGCUCUGCGCUCCCUCAUCCUCAUCUCCAAUCUGCCGUUUGCUCUCUCAUCCCCACACCCCGCCUCACUGCCGCGACACACUCGACGGAUGUUGCGCCCGCGCCAGCUUGCUGCCAUCUCACCUGCCCACUGGCGCUCCCUCCCUCCCUUCCUCCCCAUCCGUGACCUAUAUUAUAACUCCGCGCUCUCCGAUGACCUAGAAAUCGAUCUAGUCACCGGAGAUGAGGAUGAUGACGGUGCGGGGCGGCAGCUCUGACGAGUUUUGGGACUAAGGAGUAAUGGAGAACAGACGUGAUAGGAGAACAGGGUGCGUUGGGGAACGGAGACGGGGGCACGGUGCAGAACAGAGGACAGGAUUUGGGAAGGAAAAUGGCGUACUCAAUCUAUUCCAUUCCGAUUUUGCAGGGCGGGCAGGUUUAGGAAGGAAAGCACCGUCGGUUUGGGAAGGGGAGCGGCGUCCGGACGCAUGUCGCGCGCCGGACGUCAGGGCGCUAGAAUAACCGAUAGGAGAUACAUAUAUAGUGAUUUUUUUGGUUAAAAUCACUAUUUUUCUACUUUUGAGGUAUAUGUAUCUUUGCCCCUGAUUCAAAGCCAUAAAAAUCAGAACCACCCAUAUAUGUCACAUUGAUUUAGAGAGGCCCAUAAUUCAAUUUGCUAUGCAAUGUCUCAUUUGUAAUUUUCAUGA